UGAGCUGAAAGAGACAGAGUAAUUUUAUUACAUUAGACAUCUGCUUGACAAAGAUUACUCAACGUGAAGGGCAUGGAAAGUUCCAGGUGCUGCAAGGCCAGGAUUUUCAAAAUGUCAGCAACAGAGAGGAAGCUUUCUUGAGUCAGCGUUUAAGGGGGAUUUUUUUUUUUUUUUUUUUUGAUUUUUUGUAAAUCAAGCAGGUUUAAGUGUCAGGACAUGACAAAAAAAAUCAGGCAAUGUCUCAAAUGGGGUAAAAAGUCAGCUAGCAACAGGAAUCAGUAAACUUGAUGGGCAAAAAUAAUCAUAUUUGUCUGGUCAGUGAACGCACCACAAUUCAGCACAGUGAGAUUGACAAAACUCUGAGGGAAGAACAAUCAGUAUUAAGUGAGAGGAAGAACAACAUUAAGUUUUCUAUGGAGGAAUGUUGGCUCUUCAUUCAUAGGAUGCCACUUUAAUUAGGACAAGAGUGUUGAAAGUGCAGCUCAGGGGCCAUUUGCAGAUCUCAAAACAAUUUCAUGCGCCCCAUCUGCCCAAAGUUUUUAGAUACACUUUUUAAAAAAUGCUAGGAUGCAAAUUUUACUUAUGGGAGACAUUUGGAAAAUAAUAUUUUUUUUAAACAUAGUGUAACUAAGUUACACUAUGUUAUUAAUAAUCAGUUAU